rfam:Ornithorhynchus anatinus chromosome 3, whole genome shotgun sequence.
AGCAGUGUAGCCUAGUGGAUAGAGCACAGGCCUGGAAGUCAGAAGGACCUGAGUUCUAAUCCCAGCUCUGCUA